AUCCGGCCCUGACUUUUACCCCAAGCGCGAGAAAGAGGGCACCAUUCCAUCUCGCUUGGUUGUAGACCGCCAGAUCAAAGGCGCCGCUCGAGAGUUGCGGAGCUGGAUAAAAUAGAUGCCGAAGUGAUAACAAUAUUUAACGGCAUUCAUCUCUAAAUAGAAAUGUAGUCAAAGGUUACCACCGUAUCCAGGACCUUCAGAUACAUUCUGGAUUGGAUGAGGUCCGGCUAAUUAACAAUGCAUGUUAUGUACUUUAGGUAUGUAAGAGACAUCGGAAUGUAUUCCUUCACAAAUGGGAAGGGAUGGAAGAUGCUUUUAAAUCUACUUAGCUGGCCCAGGUAGAACACAAUUACAAGGCAAGCUGCAACGGGGUAAUACGACAAUAUGCCAAAAUUACUACGCAAUGGAACGAUACUUUUUGGUUACUGUUUCAAUGUUGAAUGGUUGGGUUUCGCCCCCAGGACUUGGGUGUAGUUUGGACCGACCAACUUAUUCUAGAUGUGGCUUCUCGUUGAUUCGAUGUGGAGUGUAAAUUGUCCUCCCAGGUGUGUUCUGCCCGGACCAGUCACUGAAACGACAUGCUAUGUUCUGUCGUGGAAUAUCUCAAGUAUCUCGAUUUUAUUACAUUGACGGCCAGUUGCACAAAAAAAAUAAUCCAGGAUUAUUGUUUAAUCCGGUAUUAAGACAUUUGAUUGGCUUUAUACUGCAGUAUGCAGCCAAUCAAAUGUCAAAAUUCUUGUUUAAUCUCGGAUUUGGCAAAUAAUCUAGGAUUUUGAUUAUAAUUCGCUUUCCUGCAACCGGCCGUGAAUCAUUUAAUUUACCUCAUUACAAUAUAAAUGCGCAAAGCAGUAUAUAUGAUCCUGUUCUAUGAAAAUAUGAAUGUUUAAUCUGCUCUGAUGAGAACACACAAUGAAAUAGAUCAUUUAACUAAAAUAAUCCAUAUGUACUAAGGGUGCGGCUCGCUUGAGCGGCGCAACGCAGCGAAUUUUAAUUAAAACCCAUUUAAUAUACAUCAACAAUUAGCCCAAGUUUAAAUAGGUAUAUAUACUUACCUACCACUAAAUUACACUCCAAAUAAAAGCUGACGUUUUUUUCAGUACCUACCAGGUGUACCCCUUAGGCCUAAUAGCUUGUAUUGUACCUAUCGUUGUUCAACUUUAAUUCUCGUUGUUCAAUUUUAAUUCGGCCUGACUGAAUAAGGAAAUUUGAUUGGUUACAAUAAAAAAAUUAUUCAAUGUAAGUCAACUGAACUGUCAUGAUACAAAUGUCGUAAUCUAUGUAAGGAGCAGACCAUUAGUUCUACCAACAUUGUAGACUCGAGUAAAAGCAUUCACUAAAUACUGGUUUAUUUCUAAUCAGUCUAUAGUUUACAAUAUAUUAUUGCUUUUAUUAAAUUUGAUAAAAUUUGCAGGUGUCCGUGUUAAAUUUAUUUAUUUUUAGACAUUUUAGGCAUUACUUUCGUACAUAAUGGAUAUGUGUUAAAAGUUAAUGGGUUUGGAUAAGACAACAAAUGAUAACAUUUUUUACGUCGAAAUGCGAAUUCGGCGCGAUUACAAAAAAGAAAAGAGAC